rnacentral:rRNA from 1 species
UACGUAGGGUGCAGGCGUUUAAUCGGAAUUACUGGGCGUAAAGCGUGCGCAGGCGGUCUUUUUAAGUCAGAUGUGAAAUCCCCCGGGCUUAACCUGGGACUGCGUUUGAAACUGAAAAGGCUAGAGUGUGGCAGAGGGGGGGUGGAAUUCCACGUGUAGCAGUGAAAUGCGUAGAGAUGUGGAGGAACACCGAUGGCGAAGGCAGCCCCCUGGGCUAACACUGACGCUCAUGCACGAAAGCGUGGGGAGCAAACAGG